rnacentral:lncRNA from 1 species
AUGCGAUUUUCUUUGUCAGAAAAGUACAGUGAUGUUGUCAGAUCGGAAGAUUUGUUUAAAAGUUCAAUAAGAAAAGCAUUGUCUGUUUACACCGGCUAUUCCGUGGAGAGUUUUCAGAAUGUACAGCUGGAGAAAGAUCCUUUCCGCGUGUCGUUUGAACUUCAUGCAAUAAAUGGAAAUCUAGUAACGUUGAGUGCAAUGUUAGAGAAGAUUGACAAGUUACUUAAGCAAGGUGUAACAGACAUGAAGACUGAAGAUGAACAGACAUUUACAAUAACUGCUGGAAGUCUACAGUACUAUUUGGUUUAUGUAGAAAAUACAGGUACUAUGCGGACUGGAACUCUGUUGACGGCAGUUUCAAUGUUCUUUAUAGUAGCAGCGUUGCACAUUUGUGAACGGCGUUAACAUGAAACGUCACGGAGCUUCGAAGGACACAUUGACUAAGCAUAAUAUAUCAAUAUAAACUCUCCAGUCAUUAACAUGGUUAAUCAAGAGCUUUUUAGAUAUUGUCUAUUUAAAGAAUUUGAAUAUAUCAUUUUCGCCAAUCAUUUCCAUGUGGAUGAUAUGAAUCUAUUCGACCACUUCAGAUACUUUGGAUUUAGUCAACACCAUAUAUGAUUAUCAUUACUCUUACACUGACAAAUAGACAGUCAUGCGAAGAGCCAGAUCUAUAUCUGCGACUAAAGAUGCCAUAUUUUCCUCAUAUCAGUUGUCUGUUGUAAAUCUAAUUCCGAUUGGGUUUUUUUUUGUUUUGCCAAUUCUGUGCUACAUCAAUUUUCUAUACAGAUUGAGGACAUUAAACUUAAUCUUCUUUGGUACCACAAAGCUAUACAGUCUAAAUUCAAUAACUAGGAUUCAACAUCGAUGCGUGAAAAAACUUCUUUGCUGCCUCAAAACUGUACAAUCUACAUUUCAAUAUUGAUGCUUAUAACUACUUGGUACCACAAAGCUGUACAAUCAACAUUCAUUAAAUACUAAUCAGCGCUUAUGCGUGAGUGAAACUACUUGGUACAAUGAAUAUUUAUUAUGCUAUAUUUUAUAUCGAUACCUUAUAAGGUUCCGAAAAUGUAAAGAAAGUAAUGAGGGUUUGCAAAAAGAACAAAUUUGUGAAAUGUUUACAGUUAAGCUUUUUGUAUUACAUAAUACUUUUAAACAGAAUUGGUCCAUUUUCAUACUAGGAGCGAAUUAAAAUUUUGGUUUGAAAUUUAGUAACAUAUCGUAUCACAGCAAUUUUAAAAUCUUAAUGUAAAACAAUGUCAAACAACACGUGAUGCAUGGUAUUGCAUUUGGUUUAUACUUGAUAAAAAUGAAAAUGUAAUGAUAAUAACAGUUUAAUGCUACUUUGUCUAUAUCAGCCUAAAUAAGUUUUCUUUUGUGUUGUAUUAAAUAUAGUAACAAAAAAUGUA